rnacentral:rRNA from 1 species
UACAGAGGUCUCAAGCGUUGUUCGGAUUCAUUGGGCGUAAAGGGUGCGUAGGUGGCGCUGUAAGUCGGGUGUGAAAUUUCGGAGCUUAACUCCGAAACUGCAUUCGAUACUGCGGUGCUUGAGGGCUGCAGAGGUCGAUGGAAUUGCCGGUGUAGUGGUGAAAUGCGUAGAGAUCGGCAGGAACACCCAGGGGGAAACCAGUCGACUGGGCAGCACCUGACGCUGAGGUGCGAGAGCGUGGGGAGCGAACCGG